rnacentral:tRNA from 1 species
GGUGGCACAAUGGUUAAAGUGCUUGGCUGCUAACCAAAAGGUCGGUGGUUUGAAACCACCAGCCA